rnacentral:rRNA from 1 species
GACGAACGCUGGCGGCGUGCCUAAUACAUGCAAGUAGAACGCUGAAGGAGGAGCUUGCUUCUCUGGAUGAGUUGCGAACGGGUGAGUAACGCGUAGGUAACCUGCCUGGUAGCGGGGGAUAACUAUUGGAAACGAUAGCUAAUACCGCAUAAGAGUAGAUGUUGCAUGACAUUUGCUUAAAAGGUGCAAUUGCAUCACUACCAGAUGGACCUGCGUUGUAUUAGCUAGUUGGUGGGGUAACGGCUUACCAAGUCGACGAUACAUAGCCGACCUUAGAGGGUGAUCGGCCACACUGGGACUGAGACACGGCCCAGACUCCUACGGGAGGCAGCAGUAGGGAAUCUUCGGCAAUGGACGGAAGUCUGACCGAGCAACGCCGCGUGAGUGAAGAAGGUUUUCGGAUCGUAAAGCUCUGUUGUAAGAGAAGAACGAGUGUGAGAGUGGAAAGUGCACACUGUGACGGUAUCUUACCAGAAAGGGACGGCUAACUACGU